rnacentral:lncRNA from 10 species
GGAAGUUAUACUGGAACACGGUGGGGCUAAAUAGGGGAUAUAUCUUCCUAACUAUGGGAAGGAGACUAUCCCAGGCACUUAAGAUCUCCAACAGUGUGGCCAUUUAAUGGCCUUCUAACAAAGCCCUCCAAAAGUCUUGUAACAACAACACUGAGGAAAUGGUGCCUACUGUCUUCCUCUAGCAUAAAGUAGAUAAACUUCCGAAGGAAUUUUUGACAUAACUUUUUGUGACGCACAAGGAUGAUUUGUGGCCUAUGGAAGCUAUAGAGUUCAUUUUUAAAAUUUGUUCCAAACCAGGAAGAGAAUAGAUUUGUCUGGGUAUUUACACAGACUGCUAUAGUCAUUUGGAUACAAUCUUUUGUACAUCCGAAUUUAAGUCUCUAGGGGGUAGUAAUUUCCCACACAUACUACAGGACUUGGCACACUAACAGUUACCAAUAUUUAAUUAGAUGAUCAAAUAUGUACUACUGUUUGGGAUUAUACAACAGUGUUUCCAUAUUAGGUAAAAUAAUUAAAACAUCACAAAAGCUCAAUCUUGCCCAGUUAGUCAUUCAAUCGUAGGUCUUACUGUAUAUGCUGCUGCUCUAGGGACAGUCCAGCACAUCUGGAAAUUUACAUUCCAAUAUUGAAAAAAAUUAGAUGACACUGUUUUUAAAAGAAAACUACUUCCAAGUAACUUGUAAGUAAAGGGUUAAGUUACUCUGGUAGGGAUGACAAAAGAAGAGCAGACCUAAAAAAUGUGGACAUUAGGGGGUCACUCUUAACUAGGGAUGGCUGAAUGAGGAGUUAUUAGUACAGUGAGCUAAGGAACCGCACUUUCCCUUCUGGCCUGUCAGGGUAGUCGUGGGGGUAGGUGGCAAGCAAGUAAAAUGACAAAACUAGUUCAAUGCCAAGUGCCUGAAAGAAGCAGGGGUUGGGGGUACGGCAGUGAUUAGAAUUAAAGUAAGAUCAGUAUCCCUUGUGUCUUGAAAGCCAUUUUCCUCUAUAAGAUUAAACAUGUAGGUAAGUCAGGAUAAAGGUGGAUCCAACAAUAGGUCUUUUCUGCAGGAAUUAUACAAGCCUGAGUUGGAACAAUUCUAAUCUGCCCUUUCGCCCAAGAAGUUAGAAAAAACGAGUCAGGACAGAAUCCAAUGCUGUGUGUGUGUGGUGAUGACUCCUCUAUUCCCACUAAAGAAUCCAGAGCUUGGGUGUCUGGAAUCUGCCUUAUGGUGGAGUCCAGAUUCUUCAGUUGCAAUGCUUAUGCUACCAUACACAAAACUGCUAUUUGAAUGAGUAAAUACCAACGGGUUAUUAGUCCUGGUUCUUCAGUUCACAGGGCACAACUGACUCUUCUAUUGGGAUGAUUAACUAUAUUGUGCAUAAGUGAGAGUCAGCUGGGGGAAAAGCAGAGCAUCUUGUUCAGACUUUUUGAGGGGAGAACGUAUUGUUAACACCUCUACCCUCCACACAUUUAGUGCUGAUCCCCAAAAGCAAGAGUGUCACAAAGAAAGUUUUAAAAGGAUACCAAGAUUCUCUUAAAGGAGCUUAUCAGGUUUUACUCAAUUCUAAGAAAAGAUUCUGGCACACAUCUUUGAUUACGAAAUUAAUUUUAGCUAAAGGUCUCCCAUUACACUCAGCUCCUUAUGCAGCUUCCACACUGCAACUGCUGCCAAUCUCAAACUCCAGGUGGGGCAGUCAGGGGGCUGCUAGGUCAGUGGGAAGCAUGGGAAGUGACACAAGUACAGAGUUCAAGAAACAGACUUCAAUAACUUGCUACAAAGCAGAGUUGUGUGAACAGUCUUGCACAGUGAUUUUUUGCUCACUGUGUGAUAUGAAUCUAUUAUUUUAUUGUUUGGCAAAACCUUUAUCUGGUAAUAAUAAUUUUCAGUUUUUUGUUGCCCACUUUUGCUUUCAAAAGUGUUCCAACUUGCAUGUUAUAUGGUUACCCUAUUUAUGAAGGAAUCAGAACACCUCCCUGCACUGGUCAAUCAGCCUGAAACUCUCCUGCCGGUCUCUUAUUUUUUUUUCUUGAGACGGAGUCUCGCUCUGUCGCCCAGGCUGGAGUGCAGUGGUGCCAUCUUGGCUCACUGCAACCUCCGCCUCCCGGGUUCAAGUGAUUCUCCUGCCUCAGCCUCCCGAGUAGCUGGGAUUACAGGCACACGCCACCAUGCCUGCCUAAUUUUUGUAUUUUUAGUAGAGACGGGGUGUCACCAUGUUGGUCAGGCUGGUCUCGAACUCCUGAUCUCAUGAUCUGCCUGCCUCAGCCUCCCCAAAGUGCUGGGAUUACAGGCGUGAGCCACCGCGCCCGACUGCCUAAUUCUGACAUUUUGCUGCUGCUUCAACCUCAACCUCCACCUGCACCCUCCCAGGGCCAUGGGGUCUCUCAUCCUAGGUCCGGCUCCCUGUACCUUCCCUCAGUACAGAGCUCAUGUGAAUUUGAAGGAUAAAGAUGCCUUCAGCUGAAGGUAGCAUUUACAUCAUCAGGGAAAAACUAGGCAGUUCUCCCAAGACCCUUUCAAGGGAGCCCCAUAAAGUCAAAACUAUUUUCAUAAAUCUAAAACAUGACUUACCAUUUUUACUCCCAUUUUCUCACAUUUGUACUGUGAGAUUUUCCUGAAUCUACACCAGGUGUGAGAGGGCCACAGCCUGAAUGCAGAAGCAGGUAUGAAAAUCUACCUGUCUGCUAAGAAGUCAGACAUUAAAGUCAUCUGCAAAUAUGUGAAAUAGUACCAGUCUUCUAGGUUAAUUUUUUUUUUUUUGAGAUGGAGUCUCGCUCUGUUGCCCAGGCUGGAGUGCAGUGGCGUGAUCUAGGCUCACUGCAACCUCUGCCUCCCAGGUUCAAGCAAUUCUCCUGCCUCAGCCUCCUGAGUAGCUGGGACUACAGGCAUGCGCCACCACGCCCGACUAAUUUUUGUAUUUUUAGUAGAGACGGGGUGUCACCAUGUUAGCCAGGAUGGUCUCGAUCUCCUGACCUCAUGAUCCACCUGCCUUGGCCUCCCAAAGUGCUGGAAUUACAGGCACGAGCCACUGCGCCCAGCCUAGGCUGUUUAAUUUUGAAAAACAGUUUUCAUUUAAAAUGUUAUUUAUAUUAAUAUGUUUUUUGUUAUUUUAAAAUCAAUCAUAGAUGUUUUAAAUAAUUGUUUUAAUUGUGAAUAUGGUAAAAAUCCAUAACUGUUAACCAUAUAAUCAAAAGCUGCUGGGGCCUGAAAUAAAUUUUAAGAGUGUAAUGGGGUCCUGAAACCAAAGAGUUUGAGAACCACUGGGCAGAUUAUUUUUAAAGUAUUUUGGUGUAAUUGGUUAACCAUUAAAAUAAGUGCUUGAUUCUUACUCCCAGACAUUAAAAAACAAAAGUUAAACUAAGAAUUUUAAAUAGGCC